rnacentral:rRNA from 1 species
GGAGCUAAUCCCUUAAAGCUACUCUCAGUUCGGAUUGUAGGCUGAAACUCGCCUACAUGAAGCUGGAGUUACUAGUAAUCGCAGAUCAGAAUGCUGCGGGGAAUGCGUUCCCGGGUCUUGUACACACCGCCCGUCACACCACGGGAGUUGGAGACGCCCGAAGCCGAUUAUCUAACCUUUUGGAAGAAGUCGUCGAAGGUGGAAUCAAUAACUGGGGUGAAGUCGUA